GGGCACAUAUCGCAUGUGGUAUGUUUGGGAGCUACACGCAGCUAACUGUUGGUCUGUUUUACGUAGCCCCCUCCCCCAGUGCUGUGGAGGAUGGACCCAAGAGGACACGGCUGGGACCAGGACACAGUACAGCUGUUGCUGUGGUACAGGAUCUGGAAGCAUCCACUUCUCUUCUUUGGGAAGACUGGAGUUUACCCAGCUGAGGUCCCACAAAGAGGGGUUAGAGUUGCAGUAACCUGAAGUGGACGUUCCUGAUUCCAGGCCAUGCUGAAUGAAGAAACAUAACGCUGGCACGGCAGAAGAGUCCUCCACAAAUGCUUGGAGAGCCACUGACUGCGGAACCAACGUGCCCUACGUGUGAUUCCGUCGCUGUCACAGGUUGGAAAAUAACAUCUGUGAUUACAAGUGAUUUCUGCCAGUGGAUGGCAGAGACUAGAGUUCGGGCUGUCUCACCCAGGCCUAUGCUCUCGCCCACAACACCCAAGUUCUCUGGGGAUAAGAGCAAGGAUGCCGGCUGACUCUCAGAGGUAAGAGAUCUGGGGCCGGUGCCGUGGCUCAAUAGGCUAAUCCUCCGCCUAGUGGCGCCGGCACACUGGGUUCUAGUCCCGGUUGCCCCU